rnacentral:snoRNA from 1 species
UCACCAUGAUGAUUGAUUUCCAAACAUUCGCAGUUUCCACCAGAAAGGUUUUCCCUUAUGUGGGCCAGUUCUUCCUUGGAUGUCUGAGUGA